AUGAGACAGCACUGUAUGACCGUUAGGUGGAGCCUCCUCCCUGAUUGCAACCGGUGCAGGGUGGAUGAACAAGGGGGCAGUUCCACAGCAGCGAAUACCAGCAAUACGGAAGAAAGUCUCACGUCAAUCCAAGGCCGGAGCAGGGCUUUCCCAGCUUCACCCCUUCACCACCCAGUAUCUACAGUCAAACGCAAGCCGUGUUCCAGAAAGGAGUUUGACGGAGAGGCAGAAGGACACGCCGCACCUCAAGUUCACACCACUGAGAGUUCCUGCCAACUUUCGGAAAACACCGCAAAACAUUCUUUCACAGAAAAACAAACACAGACGCAAAAUGCUUCACCAAACGGACAAGGCAACGGAUGCCUGCUGGGGGUUCGCCGGUGUCACUCUUCUUCUGCAAUAAUGGUAAAGACCAUAUUAACCUUUACUAGAGAAGCGCUCUUGCCAACAUCCCGAAGGACAGGGGUCUUUACUACGACUUUUGCACUACAUUUUUAGCCUGGGGUCUUACUUUGUGCUUGGGGCACAGAUUGUGUGUCAUCCUAUUGGAAUUUGCACUGUUUUGUAGAUGUAGUUGAUGUAUUCCUUUUGAUGUCAUUCAUGGGGAACUGUUCUGCUGAGGAUGGGUCUGCUCAUCGUGGCGUCCACACCGGGCUGGGAUCGCAACCCUGUCACCGUGGGCCACCAGAACGGGACGGUCGGGUCAACGGAAGAGUGAUGUUCUAAUGCGACGCAUGUUCUUAACACUGGAAAUAUGUUGUGCGGUGAACAUUGUAGUACCUUAAGAGUUUCCUGUGGGGGUGGAGUCAAACCCAGGGAGAACGAAGGGUACAUAAAACAGUGGGCAGGUCAGGUAAUUUCUAGAAGGAACAUCUAGGCAGUGCUUCUGCAGAAGCAACUAGUCCUUUUUCCCAGGUGGAAUUAGCUCCACACUAUUUAAGUCAACUUGUCACACUUGUGUUAUAGGGCUUUGUAACAGGAUUCCCUUUAACGAUGAUCACGCAAUGAGUAUUAACCCCUGCAUGGCUGGACCUCCAGCUUACAGUUUUGUUCCUCUUGAUUCCAUUCAUCGGGUGAGUCCAUAUAGCUACUAUUCACAUUGCAAUGUGUUACAGUGAAUGUGCUGCCACUGUCCCUACACACACUGAUACACAAGGACACAAGCGUAACCGGGGGGACAUUCUAGUUCAAUAAAAGCCCGCACACACGCA
rnacentral:lncRNA from 1 species